GAUGAACGCUGGCGGCGUGCUUAACACAUGCAAGUCGAACGAAGCACUUUAUUACGAUCCCUUCGGGGUGACGAUUUAGUGACUUAGUGGCGGACGGGUGAGUAACGCGUGGGUAACCUGCCUUAUACAGGGGGAUAACGUUUGGAAACGAACGCUAAUACCGCAUAAGCGCACAGAGUCGCAUGACUCAGUGUGAAAAACUCUGGUGGUAUAAGAUGGACCCGCGUCUGAUUAGCUUGUUGGCGGGGUAACGGCCCACCAAGGCGACGAUCAGUAGCCGGCCUGAGAGGGUGAACGGCCACAUUGGGACUGAGACACGGCCCAGACUCC
rnacentral:rRNA from 1 species